rnacentral:rRNA from 1 species
CAGCCGCCACGGUAAUGCAGAGGGUGCAAGCGUUAAUCGGAUUUACUAGGCGUAAAGGGCGCGUAGGUGGUUAUGUAAGUGAGAUGUGAAAUCCCCGGGCUCAACCUGGGAACUGCAUCUUAUACUGCGUAGCUGGAGUGCAGUAGAGGGUAGUGGAAUUUCCGGUGUAGCGGUGAAAUGCGUAGAUAUCGGAAGGAACACCAGUGGCGAAGGCGGCUACCUGGACUGACACUGACGCUGAGGCGCGAAAGCGUGGGGAGCAAACAGGAUUAGAUACCCCAGUAGUCCCUGUCUCUUAUAC